rnacentral:pre_miRNA from 1 species
AAUAUACUCCCUCCGUCCUAAAAUUCUUGUCUUAGAUUUGUCUAGAUACGGAUGUAUCUAAUACUAAAACGUGACUUGAUACAUCCGUAUUUAGACAAAUCUAAGACAAGAAUUUUGGGACGGAGGAAGUAUAUU